CUGUGCCACAGGUCCUGUGCCCUCUGUUGUGCCAAGGGUCAGCACCAGCUCCUGGCUUCCUGCCUGGGGCUCUCAUGGCCCAGAGCCCAACCUGCAGCUGACAGUGGAGCUGCACACUGAGCUACCAGCACUGAAUGUGUUCUUCAACAAGGGAAUCACAGAAAUGGUUGGAAAGGAAAGAGUUUCUAGAAGAAAGCACAGAAAUUGGGUCUAAGCAGAGCCCACCCUGCUGGUACGUGCAGAGGGUUUCUGUGGUCCCCAGGCUGUGCUGUCCUGCUGCCCCACAGGUUGUUGUCAUUCUGUCCUGGCUGUUCACAUGUGUGUGUGUUGCUGUACAGCCAUCUAGUGUGACAUGUCCUGAAGUACAUUCCUGCAUCCAGACUUCAGGAGCAUUUGGCUGUAAAUGACUGUACAUGUGGGUGGCCCAGGUGUCUACAGGGAGCACUUCAACACAUUUGACCUGCAGAAGGACAAUGUGGAACAUGGGAGAGACAUCUUAGAAAAGAGGCGAAAGUUGCCAGGCUCUAUCAUCUAAAAAAAGAGAGCAAACCUAAAAUCAUUUAAUGAGCUUACAGGAACCUACGAGGACUUUGAGGGAGCUGGCCAGGACC